AUCAAUAACCUUUUGAGAAAUUUUGUUGAAGAAGUAACACAACCGAGUGAUAACCAUUUUCACAUAUACAGGCUUAAUUGCUCUAAUUACUAUUGGAAGGAACAACGUCAGCAUCACAUGACAAUCAUGACAGUUGUAGCCGGUAGCGAGAGAUCUUUCAUCAAGACUAGUUUCCUGAUGUUGGAUGAGAAUCGACUUGGUACUCUAAUCCCC
rnacentral:lncRNA from 1 species